UACGUAGGGGGCAAGCGUUGUCCGGAAUCAUUGGGCGUAAAGAGCGUGUAGGCGGUUCGGUAAGUCGGCUGUGAAAGUCCAGGGCUCAACCCUGGGAUGCCGGUCGAUACUGCCGGACUAGAGUUCGGAAGAGGAGUGUGGAAUUCCUGGUGUAGCGGUGAAAUGCGCAGAUAUCAGGAGGAACACCAAUGGCGAAGGCAGCACUCUGGGACGUGACUGACGCUGAGACGCGAAAGCGUGGGGAGCAAACAGG
rnacentral:rRNA from 1 species